rnacentral:rRNA from 1 species
UACGUAGGGACCAAGCGUUGUUCGGAUUUACUGGGCGUAAAGGGCGCGUAGGCGGUUUGUCAAGUCAGUUGUGAAAUCUCCGAGCUUAACUCGGAACGGUCAACUGAUACUGUCAAACUAGAGUACAGAAGGGGCAAUCGGAAUUCUUGGUGUAGCGGUGAAAUGCGUAGAUAUCAAGAGGAACACCUGAGGUGAAGACGGGUUGCUGGGCUGAUACUGACGCUGAGGCGCGAAAGCUAGGGUAGCAAACAGG